UCGUUGGUGGUUCAGUGGUAGAAUUCUCGCCUUCCAUGUGGGAGACCCAGGUUCGAUUCCCGGCCAGGGCA
rnacentral:tRNA from 1 species